AGUGUAGUUUAUGGGACUCGGCGGCGCCGGUUAUCCAAAUUUUUUCCGAUUUCGUAAAAUUCGAAAAUCAUUUUUAAAAUUUUAAGGAGAUCGCCAAUUAAAUACAACAGACGUUUUCGCUAUAAUCUACCGGAUCGAUAUCCGUUUUAGGAACGAAAAAAUUGACUUCCGGAAAAAGCGUGCGGGUUGUGGUCGACGUAAUAUUUGCUACUGUUUUAGUCGCCGAGUUGUUUUUCUAGAAAUGCCUGUGAAUAAUCGCCGCGGA